CAAUAGCGUAUAUUAAAGUUGUUGCAGUUAAAAAGCUCGUAGUUGGAUUUCGGGGCCCCGGACGCUCGUUGCGUUGUCUGCUGGACUUGUCCUGUGGGCGCGUGGCGGUCGUCGGUCUCUGAGUCGGAUCGGUCCGCCGAGAGGCGUGCACUGACCGACGGCCCCUGUUGUCUCUCGGGUUGCCCGCCUGCACUUAACUGUUGCGGACGGGGAGUUCGGGACGUUUACUUUGAACAAAUUAGAGUGUUCCAAGCAGGCCGUUUGCUUUGAAUACAUUAGCAUGGAAUAAGGGAAUAGGGCUGCGUGGCCUGUCGUCUGACGGCGGGUCCUCGUGUCCUAUUUUGUUGGUUUUCGGGACCGCAGUCAUGGUCAAGAGGGACAGUUGGGGGCAUUCGUAUUCAGUUGUCAGAGGUGAAAUUCUUGGAUUUACGGAAGACGAACAACUGCGAAAGCAUUUGCCAAGGAUGUUUUCAUUAA
rnacentral:rRNA from 1 species